rnacentral:rRNA from 1 species
CCUACGGGUGGCAGCAGGGAGGAAUAGUGGGCAAUGGACGCAAGUCGGAACCAGCCAAGCAGCGGGGAGGAAGACGGCGCUAUGAGUUGGAAAAUGCGUUUGUAAGAGGGUAAACGCAGAUACGCGGAUCUGUCUGCAAGUAUCGUACGAAUAAGGAACGGCUAACGCCGUGCCAGCAGCCGCGGUAAUACGGAGGAUUCAAGCGUUAUCCGGAUUUAUUGUGUUUAAAGGGUGCGUAGGCGGUCGGAUAAGGUAGAGGUGAAAUCCCGAGGCUCAACUUGGGAAUGGCCUCUGAUACUGUUCGGCUAGUGCGUAGUUGCGUUAGGCGGAAU